AGUAUCUUUGGGAAAUUCCCCGGACGCAAAUGCCGAGAGGCAACUCUGGAAACAAGUACCGGUAAGAGUGCCACUUCUGCAACGACUGCCUUUUGAGCAUGAGCGUUGAAGUCGGCCUUUUGCCGCCGUCAGAGCAAAGUUAUGCUAUGAACACAACGGGGAUUACUCUC
rnacentral:RNase_MRP_RNA from 18 species